AAAUAGAUACCCUGGUAGUCCACGCCGUAAACGAUGAGUGCUAAGUGUUAGAGGGUUUCCGGCCCUUUAGUGCUGCAGCUAACGCAUUAAGCACUCCGCCUGGGGAGUACGGCCGCAAGGCUGAAACUCAAAGGAAUUGACGGGGGCCCGCACAAGCGGUGGAGCAUGUGGUUUAAUUCGAAGCAACGCGAAGAACCUUACCAGGUCUUGACAUCCUCUGCCAACCCUAGAGAUAGGGCGUUCCCCUUCGGGGGACAGAGUGACAGGUGGUGCAUGGUUGUCGUCAGCUCGUGUCGUGAGAUGUUGGGUUAAGUCCCGCAACGAGCGCAACCCUUGAUCUUAGUUGCCAGCAUUCAGUUGGGCACUCUAAGGUGACUGCCGGUGACAAACCGGAGGAAGGUGGGGAUGACGUCAAAUCAUCAUGCCCCUUAUGACCUGGGCUACACACGUGCUACAAUGGAUGGUACAAAGAGCUGCGAACCCGCGAGGGUAAGCGAAUCUCAUAAAGCCAUUCUCAGUUCGGAUUG
rnacentral:rRNA from 1 species